GACGAACGCUGGCGGCGUGCUUAACACAUGCAAGUCGAACGGAAAGGCCCUGCUUUUGUGGGGUGCUCGAGUGGCGAACGGGUGAGUAACACGUGAGUAACCUGCCCUUGACUUUGGGAUAACUUCAGGAAACUGGGGCUAAUACCGGAUAGGAGCUCCUGCUGCAUGGUGGGGGUUGGAAAGUUUUGGCGGUUGGGGAUGGACUCGCGGCUUAUCAGCUUGUUGGUGGGGUAGUGGCUUACCAAGGCUUUGACGGGUAGCCGGCCUGAGAGGGUGACCGGCCACAUUGGGACGGAGAUACGGCCCAGACUCCUACGGGAGGCAGCAGUGGGGAAUAUUGCACAAUGGGCGGAAGCCUGAUGCAGCAACGCCGCGUGCGGGAUGACGGCCUUCGGGCUGUAAACCGCUUUCGCCUGUGACGAAGCGUGAGUGACGGUAUGGGUAAAGAAGCACCGGCUAACUACGUG
rnacentral:rRNA from 1 species